rnacentral:rRNA from 1 species
CACGUAGGGGCCAAGCGUUGUCCGGAUUUAUUGGGCGUAAAGAGCUCGUAGGCGGUUUGUCGCGUCUGCUGUGAAAACCUAAGGCUCAACCUUGGGCUUGCAGUGGGUACGGGCAGACUAGAGUGCGGUAGGGGUGACUGGAAUUCCUGGUGUAGCGGUGGAAUGCGCAGAUAUCAGGAGGAACACCGAUGGCGAAGGCAGGUCACUGG